rnacentral:lncRNA from 1 species
AUUGAAUGUUCUGUUACCCAGUGAGCCUUUGUCUUACUUGCCCAGCUUUAUAAUCAUUGCUAUAUAAUCGCAUUGCUAGAGGCCCGAUGUUAAAAGGCUUUUCAUUACUAUAUACUUUCAAUUAAAUGGACAGGAAUUCUUAUCACAUAAAAAAAGAAACUGCAAUGCUGCUGACUCAGAAAAUCUCCUUCUGAUUUCCUCACAAAGACUGAGAUAGGAAAAGAAAAUAAAAGAAAAAGAAACAUGGCAAUGGUGCAGCUUUAACAGAAAAGAGCUCAGUCAAAUAUUAGGUUGGUGCAAAAGUAAUGGCAAAAACUGCAAUUACUUUUGCACCAACCAAAUACAUUAUCAAGGCCCAUCACAAAUACAUUCUGAACUAGGGAACUCCCUCAGGGCUCCUAAAACAAAGCCAGGCAGAUAUUAGGCACUCAAUAUUUGUUGAAUGAAUGAAGCAGCUCUCCACUUCCAUGAGCAAAUAGAGAAAUAGAGAAAAGAAAACAUCAAUCAAAUGUGCAAUAGGGUGCCUUACUGUUCCCUGCAAGCUUGGGCAGCCGCAUUCCAGGUGCCUUUCUGCUCUGUGAUCAAGAUGUGACAGUAGCCUGAGUGCUGGUGCCACCCGGCUGGACAGGAUUUGUCUUCCACAACCUGAAAAACAGUUGUCUGUGUUCAUGUCAUAAUGGUCUUUACAAUCUGGAGUCGGUUCAGCAUAAGGAGUCCUACGAGUUCCCUAACUUCAGUCAAGUAGUUUCGUUACCACAGAGGGAGUCAGCCCUAAUCCCAAUUCUCCAUCUUGAGAAAUACAAUGGCUUCUUACAGAAAACACUACCACAGUCAGCAACAUUUCAAUGUUACAACUUUGACAUUCUGAUAACUGAACAAAACAAGUAAACAUCUUCUGGAUGCCUUCUUCAAAAUGGAAGAGUCCCUUUAAUUCCAGAGUGCAGUUCUUUGGAAAUGAGGGCAACUGGUCCUUUGGGAAGGAAAGGCAAUUUAGCAAUUUAGAAUUGACUUAAGGAAAGUUGCUCACACAUUCACCUCCUUUGGGUCUUCAUUUGUUGGGAAGCAUUUGUGUU